AGGGCAACACGGGAGUGCGCUGCAGCCGGCCGCCUAAAUCACUCCUCCCCAAUGCCCGCGCUUUGCGGGCCUCUCCUGACGUCCUGGCUGGGACCACAGGAAACGGGACGGCUGCUUCUCCUUGGUUCAGGGUGGACACGGCCAGGACCCACUUGGCCCACCAGAGCAGGAGGCGGGUGCGGGGCCCUGGCCACCGCCGGCCCUGUGCUGGGAGCCGCAGAGUGAAUCCGGAACAGCCCGUGGGUGAGCGAGGACACCACUCCCCAGUGCCCAGAUUAAAACGAAGGCCCCCAGCCUGUGGUGCCUCCCGCUCCCACCUCUGCUCUGGAGGUGGUGGCAACAUGCACCCGAGGGUGGUGAGGUGACCACGAGUCUACCCCCGAGAAGUCUCAGAACGGAGCCAGUGCCAGUCAGCUCUCAGGCAUGGGAGUGACGACUAUUUUACACUUGGAAAGAGAGAAAAGGAACCAUGCUUCUAUGCCAGCUUCCAUGGAGAGCGAGAAUGAAUUCUACAGCCUAACAGAAUAGGCAUUUGGGGCUAAAGCAAAGCUCGUCAAAGCUGCAAGCAGUUGGGGGGAAGGGACCGAGCACUGUUCAGGGGUUGAUGGUGCCUUCGUUCGUUCUGGAAAGUCCACCUGAGUGAGCAAGUGGCCGUCAGCCGGAAGCAGACACCGGAGAGGGAGAAGCAGAGAGCUGGGCC